UGGGGAAUUUUGGACAAUGGGCGAAAGCCUGAUCCAGCAAUGCCGCGUGUGUGAAGAAGGCCUUCGGGUUGUAAAGCACUUUUGUCCGGAAAGAAAUCCUUGGCUCUAAGUACAGUCGGGGGAUGACGGUACCGGAAGAAUAAGCACCGGCUAACUACGUGCCAGCAGCCGCGGUAAUACGUAGGGUGCAAGCGUUAAUCGGAAUUACUGGGCGUAAAGCGUGCGCAGGCGGUUUGCUAAGACCGAUGUGAAAUCCCCGGGCUCAACCUGGGAACUGCAUUGGUGACUGGCAGGCUAGAGUAUGGCAGAGGGGGGUAGAAUUCCACGUGUAGCAGUGAAAUGCGUAGAGAUGUGGAGGAAUACCGAUGGCGAAGGCAGCCCCCUGGGCCAAUACUGACGCUCAUGCACGAAAGCGUGGGGAGCAAACAGGAUUAGAUACCCUGGUAGUCCACGCCCUAAACGAUGUCAACUAGUUGUUGGGGAUUCAUUUCCUAGUAACGUAGCUAACGCGUGAAGUUGACCGCCUGGGGGAGUACGGUCGCAAGAUUAAAACUC
rnacentral:rRNA from 1 species